CCUAGUGGUUAGAGUGGAGGGGCGGCAGGGUAGCCUAGUGGUUAGAGUGGAGGGGCGGCAGGGUAGCCUAGUGGUUAGAGUGGAGGGGCGGCAGGGUAGCCUAGUGGUUAGAAUGGAGGGGUGGCAGGGUAGCCUAGUGGUUAGAGUGGAGGGGUGGCAGGGUAGCCUAGUGGUUAGAGUGGAGGGGCGGCAGGGUAGGCUAGUGGUUAGAAUGGAGGGGUGGUAGGGUAGCCUAGUGGUUAGAAUGGAGGGGUGGCAGGGUAGCCUAGUGGUUAGAGUGGAGGGGUGGCAGGGUAGCCUAGUGGUUAGAGUGGAGGGGCGGCAGGGUAGCCUAGUGGUUAGAAUGGAGGGGUGGCAAGGUAGCCUAGUGGUUAGAGCGUUGGACUAGUAACCCGGAAGGUUGCAAGUUCAAAUCCCAGAGCUGAAAAGGUACAAAUCUGUCGUUCUGCCCCUGAACAGGCUGAACAGGCUGAACCCACUGUUCCUAGGCCGUCAUUGAAAAUAAGAAUUUGUUCUUAACUGACUUGCCUAGUUAAAUAAAGGUUACAAUUUUUGUUUUUAAAUAUGACGUUAUCGUUAAAGUUGGUUCUGUUACAUUGUGUUUUGGGUUCGUAAGGCAUGAUUGUUAAAUUAUAUAUAUGUGUUGCCCAACUCCGGUCCUCGAGUUACUCCAGCAGAGCAUGUUUUUUUUUUGUCGUAGCCCCAGACAAAAACCACCUAAUUCAACUUGUCAAGGGUUAGUUGACAGGUAGAAUCAGGUGGGCUUGUCCGGGUCCACAACGAAAAAUAUGUACUAUUGGCCGUACUCAAGGACCGGAGUUGGACAACGCUGUGAUAUAUAAUGGAAGAUUUAAUGCAUGUUGAGGUAGUAUAGGUCUUACACUGCCACUACUACUAGCAACAGUCCCUCUAGUCUGAAGAAAACCCCAUCUCAGAGUUAGACCGGUGUUUUAUCACUACGAAGUGAACUAGAAGUUCUACUGUAAUGCUGUCAAAUUAAAUUAAGCACCAGAAUAUUUUUAAUUCCACUUAAGGAACUGAAUACCUAGACAGAUAUAUCAGGACAGGGAACUUAAAGUACACUUCCUGUAUUCAAUCAACAACUCUGUAAAUACUGGGCUACGUGAGUAAACAAAGCCAUUGUUUAUAUGAGCCUGUGGAUAGAGUGGAGGGGCGGCAGGGUAGCCUAGUGGUUAGAGUGGAGGGGCGGCAGGGUAGCCUAGUGGUUAGAGUGGAGGGGCGGCAGGGUAACCUAGUGGUUAGAGUGGAGGGGCGGCAGGGUAGCCUAGUGGUUAGAGUGUAGAGGCGGCAGGGUAGCCUAGUGGUUAGAGUGUUGGCGAGUAAACAAAGCCAUUAUUUGUAUGAGCCUGAUCCCAGAUCUGUUUGUUAUGUUUUGCUAAUUCCUAUUGUUUAUCUAUGGUGCCAAACAUAAGUGUUGUCAAGAUGGGACUAACAAGUCUAGGAUCAGGUUAGGACACAGCCAGGGGAUAUUCUGAUGCUGAGAAGGACAAUAACAAACCAUUCCAUACAGUUCGCUAAACUGAGUAAAAAAUACAAAUAAAAAGUUAUUUCUGUAUCUAUUUUAGACAUUUAUGAAGAGAGUUAAUAUACGAUAGUAAGCAUCCAUGCACUAAGCUGAAAUCUGUGUGUUGUUACGGUUACACAACAGAGAGAUUUGUUUUUUUCUUUUUACUUCUAAAAUAUAAGAUAAGAUGAGACCCUACUUGAAAUGCUGUGCUUGUCUGUGAGCUGAGCGGACGCUGUGCUUGUCUGUGAGCUGAGCGGACGCUGUGCUUGUCUGUGAGCUGAGCGGAUGACUUUAACAUUCAACGGCUGUCUGUUUGUUCUUAAAGCACUUGGACCAAAACUGGUCUCUCUUGGCAGACUCGUACAGUGGCUGUGGGAAAGAGACCAAAACUAGUCUCUCUUGGCAGACUCGUACAGUGGCUGUGGGAAAGAGACCAAAACUAGUCUCUCUUGGCAGACUCAUACAGUGGCUGUGGGAAAGAGACCAAAACUAGUCUCUCUUGGCAGACUCGUACAGUGGCUGUGGGAAAGAGACCAAAACUGGUCUCUCUUGGCAGACUCGUACAGUGGCUGUGGGAAAGAGACCAAAACUAGUCUCUCUUGGCAGUCUCGUACAGUGGCUGUGGGAAAGAGACCAAAACUAGUCUCUCUUGGCAGACUCGUACAGUGGCCGUGGGAAAGAGACCAAAACUAGUCUCUCUUGGCAGACUCGUACAGUGGCUGUGGGAAAGAGACCAAAACUAGUCUCUCUUGGCAGACUCGUACAGUGGCUGUGGGAAAGAGACCAAAACUAGUCUCUCUUGGCAGACUCGUACAGUGGUUGUGGGAAAGAGACCAAAACUAGUCUCUCUUGGCAGUCUCGUACAGUGGCUGUGGGAAAGAGACCAAAACUAGUCUCUCUUGGCAGACUCGUACAGUGGCUGUGGGAAAGAGACCAAAAGUAGUCUCUCUUGGCAGACUCGUACAGUGGUUGUGGGAAAGAGACCAAAACUAGUCUCUCUUGGCAGUCUCGUACAGUGGCUGUGGGAAAGAGACCAAAACUAGUCUCUCUUGGCAGACUCGUACAGUGGCUGUGGGAAAGAGACCAAAACUAGUCUCUCUUGGCAGACUCGUACAGUGGCUGUGGGAAAGAGACCAAAACUAGUCUCCCUUUGGCAGUCUCGUACAGUGGGAAAGAGACCAAAACUAGUCUCUCUUGGCAGACUCGUACAGUGGCUGUGGGAAAGAGACCAAAACUAGUCUCUCUUGGCAGACUCGUACAGUGGCUGUGGGAAAGAGACCAAAACUAGUCUCUCUUGGCAGACUCGUACAGUGGGAAAGAGACCAAAACUAGUCUCUCUUGGCAGACUCGUACAGUGGCUGUGGGAAAGAGACCAAAACCAUUUCCCCUGGAACCAUUCAAAUGUGUUGAAUAGUUACUGACUGUUGUUCAGUGUAAAGUCGUGUUGCUGUGCUGUUCUGUUCUCUUAGUAUCGUCUUUUUAAACCGUUUUGGAAAUGGUUUAUGGUUGAUUCCUGAUAGAUUUCUUUUGUUUUAUUAUUUCUUUUGCAACUUGUGUUUUGUUGGUCAAAUUACGGGGGGGGGAAAAAAAAAAAAUGUGAAUAUUUUGAUGACAGAUCCAGUAAACAAGGAAGACUGUUGCCAUGUGUCGUUGGCCUAUGGAACAGCUGUGCCCUGAGGUACUAGGAUAGGAUGUACUCUCCUCUGGGCAGCCAUGUGGGUCAGAUGACAGGCCUGGGUAGGGUUGACUGAGACCACAAACACCACGGGUCUAUUAAGCUAAGUGGGAUUCAACCAUUUGUGAUGCUGCAUGUGUCACACAUAGACCUGACAUUAUUCCACUCAGCAGAGAAGAAUGUCUGCACAGGGCACAUUUCUCUCUGAAUGUUCUGCAAUGCAGUCUCCUGGAUAAGUGAUAACUUCCGAGUUCAGGGGUGUUUUCUUCUACUGAAGUUUGGCAUCCCGAGUGGCACACUGGUCUAAGACACUGCAUCUCAGUGCAAGAGGUGUCACUUGCAGUAACUGGUUUGAAUCCAGGCGGCAUCACAUCUGGCUGUGAUUGGGAGUCAUGAUAGAAAGGUGCAUAAUUGGGCCAGCGUCGUCUGGGGUAGGCCGUCAUUGUCAAUAAGAAUUUGUUCUUAACUGACUUGGCUAGUUAAAAAAAAUAA